CCUACGGGGGGCAGCAGUGGGGGAUAUUGCACAAUGGGGGAAACCCUGAUGCAGCGACGCCGCGUGGGUGAAGAAGCGCCUCGGCGCGUAAAGCCCUGUCAGCAGGGAAGAAAAUGACGGUACCUGAAGAAGAAGCCCCGGCUAACUACGUGCCAGCAGCCGCGGUAAUACGUAGGGGGCAAGCGUUAUCCGGAUUUACUGGGUGUAAAGGGAGCGUAGACGGUUAUGUAAGUCUGGAGUGAAAGCCCGGGGCCCAACCCCGGGCCUGCUUUGGAAACUGUGUAACUGGAGUACAGGAGGGGCAG
rnacentral:rRNA from 1 species